ensembl:lncRNA
CACAGUUCUCUCAACGUCUCCCCCUUCCGAUGUCUCUUUGUCUUCACCCUCGUUCAUCUCGCAGCUGGCCGGUCCAGCCGAGCGGCGGAUGUGUGAGGGGAGUGAUUCAGAAGGUGACAGGAAGCCAGCAGCCUGCCUGCCAUCCUUGUGUGUUGGUGACAGCAGAGAGAGCAGGGAGCCAGAGAAGGAUGGGCCUCCCAGAGUGAGGGCAGCUGUCGGGCUCCUAGGCAGAAGACGCCCAGAGACAUGGAUCAUACCGAGCUGCUUGGGGCCGGAGCCUCCCUUCUGCUCCUUGGGGCUGUGGCGGGCAUGUGCGUGUGGUGUCCCCGCUUAGGCACGAGGAGGUCCAAGCAGAUCUUUUAUGAGCAGAGGGAUGAGGGACGGCAGAGUUUUGCAGUGGCCCGGACCUUUUCUAUAGCGGGUAUGGUCCCCGAGACGGCCGAAUACUCCACCAUUCAGUGCCCCGAGCCCAGGAAGGACAAGUGGCUGUACUCCAUGGCUGAGGCAGAAGAUCCUGACAUCACCAGGUAUCAGAACCUCAGGAAAGGAAGCAGAAGAGAAUCAGAGCCCUCCUAUGUGUAAGCUGGUUUUUCCCUCUCAUGGGGUCUCCUUCAUGUUGGCUUUCCUUCUCAUUAUAUACAGGGGAUAGAAAAGUGGGGAGGGGGUGGGGACGUUCACCUGACAGAACCAGGCCAUUCGGACCCCUUUCUGAACUCUGGAGUGUUUAUGUCACAGGCUGGACGCUGCUGCCUGGCCUCUGAGCCCACCUCCUUCUCAAGGCCUCAAAAGAGGCUCCAAAUCUCAGACCCAAUGCCGGGAGGGGGGGGGGGAGAGAGAAGAGGAGGGGAGGUGGAGACUAAAACAGGGAAAUAAGCAAACACCCAGGCUCGGUACCGGGGAACAAGGAGGCCAUCCCUGGUAUAAUGGGGGACAGUCCUUGCCCUCCCAGAGGGCUUUUUAACACUGAGCCCUUAGAAAGUCUGCUGAAACCCGGGGACUACUCAGGAUCCUGCUUGUAAAGACUUAAAAUAAAAUUCAUAAGAUGCAAAACCAAUAUUGAGAUCCAGUGAUAGCUAUCUAUCCAUCCUGUCCAUGUACUCAUCUAUUAAGCAAUCCAUUCAUCUAUCAAUGCAUCUGCCCACCCAUCCAUCUUUUCAUCUAUCCACCCAUUUAUCCAUCUUGUCAAUCCAUCUAGCUAUUCAUCCAUCCUUCCAUAUCCAUCCAUUUAUCUAUUGAUCCGUACAUCCAUCUAUAUAACUUUCUAUCUAGUCAUCCAUUUCUCUGCCUAUUCAUCUAUCAAUCCAUCUAUCCAUCUAUCUACCCAUUUAUCCACGUAUUUGUAUAUCCAUCUUGUCUAUCCAUCUAUCCAUUCUUAUUUACUUCCUUCUUUCCUUUUUUCUUUUUCUUUCCUACUCUCCCUUCCCUUCCUCCCUUCCUCCCUUUCUUCCUUCCUUCCUUUCUUUCUUUUUUUCUUCCUUCUCUUUUUCUUUCUUCUCUUUCUUCUUUCUUUUCUUCCUUCCCUCCCUCCCUCUCUCCUUCCUUCCUUCCUUUCUACUUUUCAUUUCUUCUCUUACUCCAAGUUUACCCUGCUCUAGUCGGACUGGAGAGACCUCAGUUCUGAUGGAGACAUUGCCUGCCCUCAGGGACUAUAAGCUCAUCUAUCUAAAGCUGAAAGAGACCUCAGAGAGCAUCUAGUCCGAGCAAUUCAUUUUAUAGCUGAGGAAAUUGAGGCUUAAAGAUAGCAAAUGAAUUGCCCAAAGUCAUACAGGUAGCAAGCAGAAGAGAUGAGAUUCUGAUCUCUGUCCCUCUGAUUCCAAACCCAGCAUCCUUCCUGCUGGACCAAGUUUUCCUCAUUUGUAAAAAUAAGAUUAGACUAAAUUUAAUCCCUAAAGUCCCUUUAACUCUACAGCUACUCUACAACGUACAACUCUUUAAUUAUAAGAUUAUAUCUUCUGUUUACUUAGCUGUAAUUGGUAUAUCUUUUUGACCCUUCCUCCUCCCUCCCAUCUAUCGGAACAAAAGGUUUUGGUGGUUUGGGGGUUUGUUUCUUUUUUAGAAAAAGGGGGAGAGAAACCAAGUGAUGCAAAGAAAAAGCCUGACAGUAUCUGCAAUGUUCCAUCCAUGUGCCCUGUCCCUCCCCAAUCAUUCCCACCCCCAGUCUCUCUUCUUGGGGCCAACCUUGUUCUUUAGAAUUUGACCAAAACUUUAUUUUUAUGUCAUUGUCCUUUCCAUUUACUUGGUUUUGAUCAUUGUGUAUGUCAUUUCCCCUGGUUAUGGUCAUUGUGUAUUUCUUUCCCCCUGGUUAUGGUUAUUGUGUAUUUCUUUCCCCCAGGUUAUGGUCAUUGUGUAUUUCUUUCCCCCUGGUUAUGGUCAUUGUGUAUUUCUUUCCCCCUGGUUAUGGUCAUUGUGUAUUUCUUUCCCCCUGGUUAUUGUCAUUGUGUAUGUUGUUUCCCCCUGGUUAUGGUCAUUGUGUAUUUCUUUCCCCCUGGUUAUGGUCAUUGUGUAUUUCUUUCCCCCUGGUUAUUGUCAUUGUGUAUUUCUUUCCCCCAGUUAUGGUCAUUGUGUAUGUCGUUUCCCCCUGGUUAUGGUCAUUGUGUGUUUCUUUCCCCCUGGUUAUGGUCAUUGUGUAUUUCUUUCCCCCUGGUUAUGGUCAUUGUGUAUUUCUUUUCCCCUGGUUCUGGUCAUUGUGUAUUUCUUUCCCCCAGGUUAUGGUCAUUGUGUAUUUCUUUCCCCCUGGUUCUGGUCAUUGUGUAUGUCUUUCCCCCAGGUUAUGAUCAUUGUGUAUUUCUUUCCCCCUGGUUCUGGUCAUUGUGUAUUUCUUUCCCCCAGGUUAUGGUCAUUGUGUAUUUCUUUCCCCCUGGUUCUGGUCAUUGUGUAUUUCUUUCCCCCUGGUUCUGGUCAUUGUUUAUGUCGUUUCCCCCUGGUUCUGGUCGUUGUGUAUUUCUUUCCCCCUGGUUCUGGUCAUUGUGUGUUUCUUUCCCCCAGGUUAUGGUCAUUGUGUAUUUCUUUCCCCCUGGUUCUGGUCAUUGUGUAUUUCUUUCCCCGGUUAUGGUUAUUGUGUAUUUCUUUCCCCCAGGUUAUUGUCAUUGUGUAUGUUGUUUCCCCCUGGUUAUGGUCAUUGUGUAUUUCUUUCCCCCUGGUUCUGAUCAUUGUGUAUUUCUUUCCCCCUGGUUCUGAUCAUUGUGUAUUUCUUUCCCCCUGGUUCUGAUCAUUGUGUAUUUCUUUCCCCCAUAUGGUCAUUGUGUAUUUCUUUCCCCCUGGUUAUAGUCAUUGUGUAUUUCUUUCCCCCUGGUUAUGGUCAUUGUGUAUUUCUUUCCCCCUGGUUAUGGUCAUUGUGUAUUUCUUUCCCCGGAUAUGGUCAUUGUGUAUGUCGUACCCCCUGGCUCUCCUUCCUUCGUGGACAUCUGUCUGUCUUUCCAUUCUUUUCUAGCUUCUCUCUUCCCCUCCAAGGUUCCUUCCAUCUCUACAUCUGAUGAUUUUAUAACCUAAAUGGAGGGUGGGGCAGGUGGCUGUUGUCCACAGUAGCUCGCUGAGCCCAAAUAAGUCAGGAGAGAACAGCCCUGUUUUCAUGAAAUGUGGUCAGAAAUUGAAAAACAAAAUUUGAAGUUGCCCUUUGAGCUGAUGGAAAUUAUUGACAUCAUAAACAUUGUGGGAGGGAUGAGAGGGUGAGAAGCAAAAUAACCUUAAAUAGCAACAACAUUUAAACAAAAACAACUCGGAGGGGGAAAGGAAGCUCAGAAAGGCCGACCUUGACCUCCUGCCAGCCUCACACCUCAGCAGGAUGAGCCAUCUUGGAGGGGGGCAUCUCAUAUUUUUUUUCUCCUCCAGAGAUCCCAUUUCAACAGAUUAUUAUAACCUUGGGCAGCUCCCGAAGCAACUAAAAGACGAUGACGACACGAUCUCCUACGAGAACAUCCUGAUCUGCAAACCCAUGGAGGAAGUGGAGGAAGUGGCGGAUUAUCAGAACUCCUGUUCCAUCGAGCAGUGGAGACAGUCGGUGAAAGUGGAGAGCGCGCGCCUCUCGCUCGGAAGCCCAGAGGACGACUCCAGCGAGCCAGAUUAUGUGAAUGGAGAUGUGGGCUUCAUGCAGUAAGAAGGGAGAGAACCUGUCUUUGGGAAGUCCCGGCCUGCCCGACCCUCCCCACCCAUCCCAGCCAAGUCUCAGAGGAAGGACAUCCCUCCCAUCUCACCCAGGAGCCGCUGCCCUCGCCCUACCCCCCCCAGAGUGGUUCCACUUGGACAAAGCCCCUGUGAUCGGCAGGCGGCGGCCCCAGGACACUAUAGACGGGACCCAUGGCCCCGCCGGCCAGGAAGUUCAUCCUCCAUGGGCUGGGGAGGCUUGGGCAGUGAAGGAGGCCACAAAACUCCUGGUAUCUCCCCCACUGCGGGGCCAAAGGACUGCUUUUCAUCGCCCUCAGUUCUGUCUUGUUUGCUACCAGUCAGAAGGAGGGCCUUUUCCCAGCAGUACAGGGGAAGGAGCCCUAGAUUUGUGAGCAAAAGGCCUGGGUUCCAGUUCCACCCUUUGCUUCCUGACCUGUGUACCUUUUAGGCAGGUUUCUUCAACUCACUGGAUCUGUUUUCUCAUCUGCAAAAUGGGGGUUUGGACUGAACAGCCUCCAAGACCUUCCCAGCCCUAAACUUCUGAUCUGGUGAAGAACAUCCCUCCUGACGGGGCCAGAAGGCAGGCCCCGAGGCCCUUCCUCGGUCCUGGGAGUCUGGGUCCAGUGGGCCGAGCUUUUACUUCAUGCUGUUAUUUAUGGAGGUGGGCCUGUACUUUAUAUUGUAAUGACCUGGAGGCUUUACCUCUAAUAAAGCAUUACAGUCUUCUGUUCUCUAGUAUAUAACAGUGGCGAACGCGCCGGUUCCCUCCGUGUCCCCAUGGGGUCUGCUGGCUCCCGGACGGGCCCACUGGCUCUAAACAGGAGUUGGACCCCGGCCUGGUUGCUCCCUACCUCCCCCGGUGACUUCUUUAUGGAGGACAUCCCGAGUGUCAGGGAGGCCUGGGACCAUCCAGGUGGUUCCAGUCAGUCAGAGACCCUCCCCUUCUGUCCAGGGAACAGGCUGGCAGCAGAGCCCAGGCCUUCAGACCACUAGUCUACUGCAUGCUACUGUGGCCCCUCAGGAACUGGGCCCUUGUUGCUUCUGGAGGGACCAAAAAUGAUGCUGGCAAAGUGUCAGAGCCCAGUUCCUGCAGUGAGCGACGGGUUACUCGGGGUAGGCGGAGGAGGCCAGAUUAUGGACUCUCCCGUUUA